AAGAGCAAGGGCUCGAGCACACUGCCGCUCUCCGAUGAUGGUCGACCGAUCACUGAUCCUGCUGCCAAUGUCUCUUUCGAUGACCAACGUCGAAUAGAGAUCUUCCUCAAGGAUCAAAUCCCAACACACUACGCCCUUGCUGGCUAUGUCCUUGUCGCCGCCAUCUCCAUCGGCACACUCCCCCAAAUCUUCCCCCAACUCAAAUGGUACUACAUUCUCGUCGCCUACAUCUUCGCCCCUGUGCUUGCCUUCUGCAAUGCCUAUGGUUGUGGCCUCACCGACUG
rnacentral:misc_RNA from 1 species